AUUAAACGCUGGCGGCAUGCCUUACACAUGCAAGUCGAACGGUAGCGCGGGGCAACCUGGCGACGAGUGGCGAACGGGUGAGUAAAGCAUCGGAACGUGCCCUGGAAUGGGGGAUAACGUAGCGAAAGUUACGCUAAUACCGCAUAUUCUGUGAGCAGGAAAGCAGGGGAUCGCAAGACCUUGCGUUCUGGGAGCGGCCGAUGUCGGAUUAGCUAGUUGGUGGGGUAAAAGCCUACCAAGGCGACGAUCCGUAGCGGGUCUGAGAGGAUGAUCCGCCACACUGGGACUGAGACACGGCCCAGACUCCUACGGGAGGCAGCAGUGGGGAAUUUUUGGACAAUGGGCGGAAGCCUGAUCCAGCCAUGCCGCGUGAGUGAAGAAGGCCUUC
rnacentral:rRNA from 1 species